rnacentral:lncRNA from 1 species
UGCCUGAUCGUUAUCAAAAAGGUGGUGCCUUAUAUCAAAACACGACCACAAUACUGUUGUAUUUGUUUCGAAUUUAUAUUAAAUUUAUCUAAUAUAAGGAAGUCAAACUGUGAAAAAAUAUAUUAACAUAAAGUUACCUCAGGAAUUUGAUGUACAGUAGUUGUCGUCUGUUUAUGUAGUUCAUACGUAUUUUUCGUUUCUCCGUUUUAAAUAAAUAAGACCGUUGGGUUUUCCGUUUGAAUGGUUUAACUUUUAUAAAUUGUUACUUGAAUGGAGAGUUGUCUCAUUGGCACUCAUACCACAUCUUCCUAUAUCUAUUAAAAGAUAUAAGUUAAGUGCUUUGAUACGAAUACAUAAUGUCAAUGGUGUAAGAUGUUGCAAAAUAUGAAAUCGUCAUCAUUCCAAUAGCUAAGGAAGGUAAAGUAAAAUACAAAAUCCCAUACUGUAAAAAUAAUUAAAAUCUUGUGAACAUAUGGAGUAUAAUAACAAAGCAGCAAGCAAUCCUCAAGUUAAACAUUAAUAUAGGAAAGAUAAAGCUAUUAGUACAACGCACAUUAAAU